AUUGCUUCUCGGCCUUUUGGCUAAGAUCAAGUGUAUUUUUAUCUCACUUACUUAUGUCAGUUUUAUCUUAGUAACUUUUCAGUUAACUUUUGAGGUAUGCAGUAUUAACAAUGGUGUACAGUUGAGACUUCUAGUGUUUUUCAGAACUUUCAGACUUACAUUAGUUAUUGGUGAUAAUCAGCACACCUGUU
ensembl:snRNA U2 U2 spliceosomal RNA